rnacentral:lncRNA from 1 species
UAUUUUUGGUUUUAUUUUUUUAAAUAUUGUUUAUGGAGCAUGCAUGUGUGCUAUAACAUACAUAUGUAGGUCAGAGGACAAGCCUCUGGUAUUGGUUCUCUCCUGCCUUGUGGGAUCUAAUUAAUAGGGCCUUAUACAAGAAUCUCUUCCUCCUGAGCUGUCUCUUUUGUCCUGUCUUAUUUGUUGAGAUUGGAUCUCAGGUAGUUCAUGUUGGCCUAGUAGCCCUAUAUUGUUCAGAAUAACCUUCAGUGCCUGAUCCACUUACCUCUGCCUCCAAAUUGCUGAGAUUGAAGGUCUACACAACCACACCUGACCUAGACAGACCAAUUCUGAACCUCGUUCAUUUAAUCAUUGGUUAUUAUCCUUAGGGUAGUAGCGAUCAGCCAGUGUGUCAGUGCAACUAUAGCCUUGACAGCAGACAAUACCACAUCUUUCUGUAUUCUGUCCUUUUAAUGACCUACACUAACAUCCUCCAAUAGUUGCUUCAGUUGGGUAACAUGAUCUGCUUCACUAUAAAAAGUGUCUGGAAAAUAACUGUGACAUUCUUUGUCAUAUCAAUCCAAAACUGGUUUUUUCUUCAGGCUUAGGUUGUACUUCCUCUUAUUUUUCAGACAUACAAAACUCAGGUGAAGGCAAACAUAGUGUCACCUACAGAGAAAGAUCAACCACCAAGUGAUGGAGGCAUUUCCUCUCCUCUGUACGUAUCCCACCCUGUAGUCCAGAAAAAGAAAGAUGUAUAUCGUACUAACCAUACUACCUUCAUCAUUGGAGAAACACCAAGAGGAAUCCGCAGGUAUGUUUGUCUGUGUCUAGACUUCAGGUCAAUUCUCAAAAGAAAUACAGAUUCAUAAUAAGAUAUGCAAUGUAUAGUUAUACCUCACAUCCAAACUUCAGAAAACUGGAACUUUUAUAUUUAAAAAAAUAAAAGCAAAUGCUUUUGAGUCAGGAUUUCACUAAAUAGCUCAGAUUGGCCUGGAAUUUGGUGGAAUAGUCCAGGCUGGUAAUAUGAAUAUCCUGCCUUAACUCCUAAGUUCUGGAAUCACAGAGAGUAGAAGUAUGGGACAAACAUGGUAUCGAGGUAGUCCCCAGGGGCCAGCUGAAAUAAUGAGUGAGGCACUGGGAUCUCCGCACACAGUUAUUAAUAUUACCAAGAAUGAUGUCAAGAGAUGGUGGGGUGGCACAGCUAGCCUGGUUCUCAUGGCCUCUGUGGGCAGUGGGAAUGAUACCUGUUCUCACUUACAGUUGGUACCUGAACUGCCUGGAAAAGGAGUAGUGAGCCCCACAGUAACCCAUAGAGCUGGCACAAGGCAGCACCUUAUCCUGCCCUGCUUGCCUGGCAACAGACUUCUGCAGGGUAUACUUUUUUAUUGUUAUCAGUGAUUCUUCUAGAAGACUCACUUUAUUUCCCCGGUCUUUAAAGACACAUGGGUCUUGGUCCCUAUAGUGAUGUCUGUUCAAAAGGAAGCAAGUAUAGCACUGAUGUUUUCUUCCUUCCUUUCAUUGUUUUCUCAUCCCUUCCUGCUGCCGUCACAGUCAGUCAGAGUCGAAGCUGUACCUUGUAGUAACUGAGUGAUAACCUUCUAGGGUUUUCAAUACAUCUAGCCUCAGAAAGCAAGGUAGUGACAUGGUGGUGUCAGAUAUAGUCCAGCUCCUUCCCACUCGGGAAAGUGCUUUCAAAUUUAAUCAUCAUGACUUCUGGUAGACAUGCUAAUGGAUUCCUAACUUGGUUUUUAUUUUCCCUUUUCUUAAAGCUACUCUACCAUUUUUUUUUCAUAAGAGUGGUUAGCUUAUGUUUCUGUUAUACUUUGCAUUUCCUUGAAUUCUUAAAGAAAAUUCUAUUGAAGUCCCAGAAUUAGGAAAAUUAGUGGGAAGGCCAAAAAUCAUUCUGUAAAGGACAGCCAUAAGCAUAACUCACUCAAAGGCUCCUUGGGUUAAGUAGCCUUGAAGCAUCACGCCUCCCAGGGGACUGCCCCAGGGUCACAGGUGAGGCUAUGUGUUGUCUUAGCGCAAAAGAGAUAAAAUUACUUGGCAUCUGCUGAGACAUCACCAAGUCUUGGAUAAAUUAAAGACAUUACCUAACACCCUACUGGUUACUAAAUCUUUGUAAAUAAGUACAAACACUUACUGGGUCCUAGAAAUGGAUUUGAUGAUGAGUAAGGGCCGAAUGUAGCAUCCUCUUACUUCAUUUGACAUUACAAUGGAACCAUUUAAGGACAUGCUUGUGUUCCAACAAGAACAUUGGCAGUUUCCAGGAUAGAAUUGGGGUGGGGGUGGGGGUUACUGAUGGAAUGAAAUACAUUGUUGUUGGUGGGUAUAACUGUUGAUCAGGUGUGGAACAUAUGAUAAGACAUGAAUGAACUCCAGAAGCCAUGGCACACCUCUCAGCCACAAAAGAAUGUGGGCACUCAUCUUAGGCUGUCACUACAACCACAAGAGACUGUUACCUGGCCUGGGAGGCAGAGACAAAUGAACAAGAAAUCACAAAAAGCAGUGGUGUUAAUGCUCCUACAAACAUACAUUUAAAACAACAUUGUUUUACCCUAAGAAUGUUAUAUGUAGGAGAAAAUUCAGCCUUAAAACCCACCAAUGAAGACCUGUGAUUGCUGGCCAGUUCUGCUUUUUCACCUGUUCUGGUAUGUUCUAGAUCCCAUGAGAACUAGUUCUUGAGUGGUUCUUGGCUCAUCCUUACCUGACAGGUUGAGAUGACAGCAGAGAACCUCCUUGCCUACCAGCAAGUACUCAGGUACCCACUGUGAGCCUGUAGAGCUGAAUUUACCCUGCAUCAUGAGACUACAUUGACUGCAUUGCUUCCACUCCCUUAGCAAGACAGAACUUUGUGAGGCAGGGGACUGGGUCUGUCUUGCUAUUGUAUAGUUUGUACAGUGGUGCUUGGACACAACAGGACUCUAUAAAAACUGGUAGACCUGUUGUAUAAAAAUGAGUAGGACCUUUAACAUUUGCAGCACUGGCUUUGGUUUUUUUGUAAAGACAAUUCAAUGGACACUGACCUCUCACAACUUAAAGCCCAAACAGAGCAUCAGAAAAAAACAAAAAAACAAAACAAAACAAAACAAAAAAACACAUCUGAUCUGCCAAGCCUGGCUCAAAACUCAGAUUUUAAAAACACCAUUGUACCAUUGUGCUAGUUCUUUCUCUCACCCUAGGAAGACUUAACGCUGGGGGAUUCCAUGCUCUCUCCCCAUAACCUUACAUUAAUCAUAUAGGUACUUUUGCCAGUACUCUAACAUUGGACUUCAGUGUGGUUUAAGGAGUAGGUACAAUUCAGAGUUCAAAUCCUUCCCUGUGAAAAGCAGCAGUCUGUGGCUCAAGGAACCUAAAUUUUCUACCUCCACUUUACCUGGUUUCCAGAAGGCUCAUUUGUGUGUGUACAUAUUGAAGUGUUUGUUGGUAUCUUAUUCAAGAAUGGCAAUUCACUUCUUCAAAUAACCUCUUACUCUUUUUGCUUAUUUGCUUGCUUUGCUUUUGAAACAGGGUCACCCUGUAUAAACCAAACUACCUUAAACUUUUCAUCCUCAUGCCUCCUGAGGACUAGGUUUGCAGCUGUGCACCACCAUGCUUAGAAAGUAGUAUCUGGCUUCCAAGAUUAGCUGUCUGCACUAAAGGUGAAUCAAUAGGAAAAAAGAACUACACUUACAGAGCUUUCUUUUAAGCUCAACAAAGUGUCAUGAAAUUCUAUACUGUGAAAGAAAGGAAAUUUUAAUUUUUCUCGAAUUUUCUGUUUACCAAAGCCAUUCUAUUUUUAAUUUGUUAUGUAUUUACUUAGAUGUUUAUUUAUUACAUAUUUACAUAAUUAUUUAAGGAGAGCUUGGGAGACAUUUCCAAAGCAAUGAUUUAAUU